AUUGAACGCUGGCGGCAGGCCUAACACAUGCAAGUCGAACGGGUGGCGGGCGGGUGAGUAAUGUCUGGGAAACUGCCUGAGGGAGGGGGUUCACUACUGGAAGCGGUAGCUAAUACCGCAUACCAUCGGAUGUGCCCAGAUGGGAUUAGCUAGUUGGUGGGGUAACGGCUCACCAAGGCGACGAUCCCUAGCUGGUCUGAGAGGAUGACCAGCCACACUGGAACUGAGACACGGUCCAGACUCCUACGGGAGGCAGCAGUGGGGAAUAUUGCACAAUGGGCGCAAGCCUGAUACAGCCAUGCCGCGUGUGUGAAGAAGGCCUUCGGGUUGUAAAGCACUUUCAGUGGGGAGGCGUUACCCGCAGAAGAAGCACCGGCUAACUCCGUGCCAGCAGCCGCGGUAAUAC
rnacentral:rRNA from 1 species